CCGGACCACCAUACCGGGGGGGAAACACCCGUUCCCAUUCCGAACACGGAAGUUAAGCCCCCCAGGGCCGAUGAUAGCGUGCACCGAGAGGGCACGCGAAAGUAGGUCGUGGUCCGGG
rnacentral:rRNA from 1 species